rnacentral:misc_RNA from 1 species
GAUGAAGAACGUAGCGAAAUGCGAUACUUGGUGUGAAUUGCAGAAUCCCGUGAACCAUCGAGUCUUUGAACGCUAGUUGCGCCCGAAGCCAUUAGGCCGAGGGCACGCCUGCCUGGGUGUCACACACCGUUACCCUCGCGCCAACUUCCAUCGUUGGCCGCGGCGCGGGGCGUGCGCUGACCUCCCGCGAGCGGGGUCUCGUGGUUGGUUGAAAAUCGAGUUCGCGGUCGAGGGUGCCGUGAUGAAAUGGUGGAUGGGCGACGCCCGAGGCCAAUCACGCGCGACUCCGUCCGGCUCGGACUCCUGGACCCCUUCGGCGUCUCCGGACGCUCUUUGGCGAGACCUCAGGUCAGGCGGGGCUACCCGCUGAGUUUAAGCAUAUCAAUAAGCGGAGGA